UACGGAGGGUGCAAGCGUUAUCCGGAUUCACUGGGUUUAAAGGGUGCGUAGGCGGGCAGGUAAGUCCGUGGUGAAAUCUCUGAGCUUAACUCAGAAACUGCCAUGGAUACUAUCUGUCUUGAAUAUUGUGGAGGUAAGCGGAAUAUGUCAUGUAGCGGUGAAAUGCUUAGAUAUGAACAUAGAACACCAAUUGCGAAGGCAGCUUGCUACACAAGUUAUUGACGCUGAGGCACGAAAGCGUGGGGAUCAAACAGG
rnacentral:rRNA from 1 species